rnacentral:lncRNA from 1 species
CCCUUUUCCCCCUAUACUUCCAUUAGCUUAACAGACAUGCAAAAACGAAUAUGGAUAAAUGAUCAGAUUUAAAAAAUAUUUUUGCAAUGCUUCAAUAUGCUCACUUCUAUAGAGUUGUAUAUGGUUGUCCUCUGUUGCUUGGGGGCUCAGGAAAUGCAUUUGAUUUUAAUGACCUCUUCAGUUGCUAAUAUGAUUGCAACUCUCCGCUGCCGUUCCCUACAGUGUCUUGUACUUAAUGCUGAAAAGAUACUGGGAAACACUUGUUACAUCUCUGAAAGAUGUCCUGCUGCUCUGGGUUUGCUGAUGUUCCUCUAUUUCAGCCUGCGAACGCUCAGCGCUUCCAGUAGGGGUCAGGAUGACAUUGUCAGAUAUUUCGUAAACGUGCUGACCUGAAUAGGAGCCUUCCAAUACUCCUUAUUUGCACAGACAAAACCUUUGGGUGGGUUUUGUUUGUUUUACUUUUUAAUAUGCAGAUAAAGCGUGGUAUAAUUAUGUUUGUUUCCACGGGAUUUUAGCAGAAACUUUGUAAAGUUUGAUGACAAAUGUGUCGAGUUUCUUGAGAAACGGUGAAGGUUGGGAGUAGAGGAAAGCAGUGGGAAGGAGGUGACCCUGAAGAACUAACGCUGCUAUUGAGACGGAUCUAACAACGCAGUCUGGGCUCCGUGCCAAAGGCUGGUAUUUCACAGCAGCGACCGCCUUACAGAUGAGCUGUGGGAAGCAGGAGGGAGACUCUCUUAGGGUGCCACUACUAUGGAGACACAGCUGGGCUGAACAAGAUUUGCUUCAAACGACAACAAGAGAGACAGAAAGUGUCUGGUUCGACCGCUGCCCAAGCAGGCAGUAACCAGAAGAGCUAGCAGCCAAUCCGGCCAUGCUGCACUGUUCGAAACCAGCUCUACAUCCCAGCCAAUCAGUGACAUCACUGGAGUGCUGCUCAACUGGUUGCUGCAGAGCAGGGCAGAAAGAAGUCUGUGUGCUGCCGGGAUCCAAAGAACAGCUUCCCUUUGCUUCUGACCCAAAAGCACAAUUCAGACUGGGAAAAACACCCCUCUCCUCUGAGUAUCCCCUGGGCUCGGCUCUCCUUCUCCUUCCAGAAGGUUCUGCUUUCUGGGCGCGGGGCUUCCCGCAGCGCUGGCCGCUAGGGGAUGCUCCUGGCCCGGCGUCGGAGCAGCGCUCCCGGCUGCUCCCCGCACGGUUCCCGGAGCUGGGCGCUGCCGCCGGCCCUGGGCUAUCGGUUUUUUACAAUGGCAGAGCUGCUGUAGGUCACACCGUGGUUUAUUCAGUGCUCCGACUAGCUUUCAUUAUUCAUCUGGUCUUUAGGAACGGUCCCAAAUCUCUGUGCUCAGCUGAGACUUCAGAUUUGUUCUUAAACAGAUACAAUAGGAAAGACAUAUUUAAAAAGAGACCACUCAGCAGCUAUGGUUUUUCUAUAAAGGCACGUAUGUGAAAUUAGUUCCGUAUUCAAGUUGAAAAAAAAUCCUAAAGUAAAAAGCAAAUUAUAACGUUUAAAAUCGUAUGCAGAAAUAUGCUUCUCAUCUUUUAUUGCUAUUCCCAAAUUGCUCUGUAACAUGAGGUUUCUGCACAGAGAGCACAGGAUUUCACGUGGCUGUGGCAUGAGAGUAUAAUAUAAAAGGAGUAUUUUUAAGGUAAUGAAGUUAGAUAUUCAGAUGUUGUGUAAUGGCAGAUUUGAAGUUGUUUACGAUAGCUCAUUUCUUCUAUUGCAUCAGAACACGAUCUUUACCUUUGUAAUCAUGUUCUGCCUCUUUCUUUCCCCCCUAAGCCCUCACCUCCUAUGGGACUUCUGCCUUAUCCACACAAUUUAGAGAUGCAUAAGUUUGUGCAGUGAGAGUCUCUUCAUUUCUUACAGUUGGAUAUUGUGCAGUAGAUAAAUCAUAGGCUACAGGAAAGGAAGUAUAUAGGUGAGAAGUUGGAUAAAACUCUGAAAAAUUGGAUUGUAGUCUCAUCUCUGCCAACGAUGUUCAGUAAAAACAGUCAAUUUUUCAUAUCAUGUGUAUUCCCCAGCUUCUGUGUGCUGACAGUGAGAUCCUAUCUUCUGAUUAAUCAGAAGUGUUGAACACCCACAUCUACUUCUGAAGUCACAAGAGAGUUGUGUUUUGAGUCUACAGAAUAAUGAACAGUGCUGUCUAUUAUGCCAGCUCAUGUGCUAGAUGUCUUAGAUUUUGUGUACCUCUAUCUCUCUGACUGUAAUCUCUGUGUACAUCUUUUGUCAUCUGUAGAAGACAGAUGCACGCUUCUUCAAGGCUGCAAUGAAAAUAAUAUGUCUGAAUCACUCGUAUCUUCUAAUGAUGAACAUUAAAGAAAUGCCUGGACAAAGUAAAUGCAUCUGUCUUCAAAGGAGAUUUUGAAUCACAGAUAAGAAAUAAAGCCCACUGCCCAGGAUCA